AUAAUGGGUCAGCGACUUAUAUUCUGUAGCAAGGUUAACCGAAUAGGGGAGCCGAAGGGAAACCGAGUCUUAACUGGGCGUUAAGUUGCAGGGUAUAGACCCGAAACCCGGUGAUCUAGCCAUGGGCAGGUUGAAGGUUGGGUAACACUAACUGGAGGACCGAACCGACUAAUGUUGAAAAAUUAGCGGAUGACUUGUGGCUGGGGGUGAAAGGCCAAUCAAACCGGGAGAUAGCUGGUUCUCCCCGAAAGCUAUUUAGGUAGCGCCUCGUGAAUUCAUCUCCGGGGGUAGAGCACUGUUUCGGCAAGGGGGUCAUCCCGACUUACCAACCCGAUGCAAACUGCGAAUACCGGAGAAUGUUAUCACGGGAGACACACGGCGGGUGCUAACGUCCGUCGUGAAGAGGGAAACAACCCAGACCGCCAGCUAAGGUCCCAAAGUCAUGGUUAAGUGGGAAACGAUGUGGGAAGGCCCAGACAGCCAGGAUGUUGGCUUAGAAGCAGCCAUCAUUUAAAGAAAGCGUAAUAGCUCACUGGUCGAGUCGGCCUGCGCGGAAGAUGUAACGGGGCUAAA
rnacentral:rRNA from 1 species